GGGCUACGUAAGGACGUCAAGGCGCGCGGUGGCGUGGACGGCAGUAUUUGUGGCUGGUGAUGCGGUUUCUGGGUCUUUGCGAUCCCUUCCUCGGUCCCUUCAGUAUCCGCUGUCAUCGAAGACCCCAGGCAGCUUGCGCUCUUUGAUGAGGCCGGGUUAAGAGUCUUGGGGUUGCUGUUCAGCGGUAGGAGGCCGGGCCCUCCCCACAAGUGCUGGUCCCUCGCGAGGGCCCUGGAGGAGACUCCUGUACUGCGGGGCGACUUGUGCCUUUCUUCUGCGGGUCUCGCUCCCGAAGAAAAACGGGGUUUCUUCUGUGUAACCUAGAGGGCACCGCUAAGCGGGAUGGAACCUGUGACCUCUAGGGACCUCACUGGGGAUGGGGCCUAUGACCUUAAGCCCACCCCUGGGUUGGGACCUGUGACCUCGUGGGAGACCCGCUUCAAAAGGCAGGAGUCGUGAUCAGAUGACCGAUCCCACAAAGUGGGAGAAGAGCUUACAGCCACAGCAGCUCUUCAGGAAGAUGUCAUGGCUACCUUGUUAGCUGCAAGGAGGAGCAUCAUAGACGUUCCAGUUCCUAACAACUUCUACUUCCUGUGUCUCUGGCCCAGCAUGUAGCAGAAGGCUACCUGCUGUUCCUUGGUGUUUCAGCAGCAGUGAUCCCAGGAUGCCAGAGCUGAAUCCCUUCUGUAGCUACUAGGCUAGUCUGUGGCACCUGUGCAGUAUGACAUGGAUACUGAAAAUGAGAAGUAAGGCCUGGCUGACCUGACCAUGUUGACAUCUAGUGCGAAGUGAAGCAGAAUUUGUACCUUAAUUGAGCAGAUUUGAAGCCUCGUGUACUUCUGUUUUUUUUUUUUCCCUCAUGUACUUCUAAAAGGGUUCAGCAGUAUCUUGUUCUUGGCCUGGGCUAUGUGUCUGAGAGAAUUUUCUGGGUCCAGGUUUGGGCCCCAUUUUUUUCUGCCUCUAGAAUAAGCCUGGCUGAAGGGCCUCAGGCCCUUCUGGCAUCUCCCAAAUGAAAAAUGAGAUAUUCAAUAAACAUGGUUUUAAAUGUG